rnacentral:rRNA from 1 species
UACGGAGGGUGCAAGCGUUAAUCGGAAUUACUGGGCGUAAAGCGCACGCAGGCGGUUUGUUAAGUCAGAUGUGAAAUCCCCGGGCUCAACCUGGGAACUGCAUCUGAUACUAGCAAGCUUGAGUCUCGUAGAGGGGGGUAGAAUUCCAGGUGUAGCGGUGAAAUGCGUAGAGAUCUGGAGGAAUACCGGUGGCGAAGGCGGCCCCCUGGACGAAGACUGACGCUCAGGUGCGAAAGCGUGGGGAGCAAACAGG